CAAAUAGGGUAAGUCAAAAAUGGAAAAACACAUUGACCACCGGAGUACCCCUUUAAGGACAACAUAUGUGUGAAUGAUCUAAACCCCCUAGUGUAUGAACAACCUGCACCAUAACAAGUACAUACUCAGUACUUAGGUCUGGAUGAUGUGAAUAGAGCACCAAAUGGCUGUUACCUUUUUACCCUGGAAUUAUUUUAUGCCUUCUUGCCUUACACCCUACGAUAUAGAAUUGUUAUGCAGCUAAAUGUAUCACCAUUAUGUACGCUGUAUUCAAGGACUUGAAUAUUGUGCAGACAUUGCAGAAGUUGUCAUUGGCAACAAAAAGACAUAAAGGUUCAGCAAGAUCUCAAAGCAACUGUGAAUAUAGACUUUGCUAAAGGUUGAGGUGGACUUCUAGAAUCUUGAUCUUGAAGACUUUGCUCUUGUCUCCUGGGUGAUUGUAUAAAUUGCCUGAAUUACCCACAGCAUAAUAUAUGCUGAUAAUUUUCCUUAAUAAACUAAGAAAUCCAGAUGAACA